rnacentral:tRNA from 1 species
GGAGGUAGAGCACAUGCUUAGCAUGCAUGAGGUCCUGGGUUCAAUCCCCAGCACCUCCC